rnacentral:rRNA from 1 species
GCUAACUGCGGGGCAGCAGGUGGUAGAAGAGGGAGGUUGCAAGCGUUGAUCGGAAUUAACUGGCGUAAAGCGGACGUAGGCGGGUGACUAAGUCGGAUGUGAAAUCCCCGGGCUUAACCUGGGAACUGCAUCCGAUACUGGUCGCCUAGAGUAUGGAAGAGGGAAGCGGAAUUCCAGGUGUAGCGGUGAAAUGCGUAGAUAUCUGGAGGAACAUCAGUGGCGAAGGCGGCUUCCUGGUCCAAUACUGACGCUGAGGUGCGAAAGCGUGGGGAGCAAACAGGAUUAGAUACCCUAGUAGUC